rnacentral:lncRNA from 1 species
UAUAUAUAUAUAUAUAUAGUCCAGCUAUGGUGCUUGUAAAAGUACCAAGUAUUUGGUGCUUGUAAGUUUUUUACCGUUAGAUCUACUCUUCGGAUCAUUUUCAACCAUUAGAUUAUACUAUUCAACCAACCACCCACUCAACCCUAGGAGGCCCACAUCAUCCUAACCGCAUAUCUCUUAAUCCAAUGGCUAAAAAUCUACAAGCACCAAUAACUUGGUACUUUUAAAAGCAUAGGAGCUCAAUUAUAUAUAUAUAUAUAUAGAGAGAGAGAGAGAGAGAGAGAGAGAGAGUUCUGCUAGAAUACUAUCGGUAGUAAAUGGCUCGGUUUACUACCGAUUUGUUUUCGAUGAUAGAGCUUCCAAAUUGAUGAUCGGCACUGUUAAACAUGAUCUAAACUAUUUAAACUAUUUGGAAAUCAAAUUUCACACAUUUUCGAUAUUGUUCUCUUGUCCAUCAAGUGAACAGAAAAAUGAAUGACUGGAAAUGAAUAUCCUUCAAAAAGUGAUGAUACAAUUUUUAUAUUUGAGAUCUAGAGUCUAGAUGUUAUUUUAAAUAGUUUAAAGAAUUUUUUAACAAAAAUUUAGUUGAUUUGAACUUUUCUAUACCGUUAAACGAGCAAACGCACCAUAUCGGCCAUUAAAAUUAUAAUUUUGUGACCCUUUGAUCGUUCAGUUAGUGAUGCCAAAAAAUCAUGAAAUUUGACUUCUAGAUAAUUUAAAUGAUCUAGAUCAUGUUCAACGAUGCCGAUCGUCGAUUUGGAAGUUUUAUCAUCAAAAAGAAAUCGGUAGUAAACCGAGCAGUUUACUAUUGAUAGUAGCCCAGUCAAACUCUCUCUCUCUCUCUCUCUCUCUCUCUCUCUCUCUAUAUAUAUAUAUAUAUAUAUAUAUAUAUAUAUAUAUAUAUAUGUAUAGGCUCCUAUGAUGGGAUGUCCGAUUUGGUGAUCGGUUCCGUUACACAUGAUCUACACUAUUGGAACUAUCUAGAAACCAAGUUUCAUAAUUUUUUGACUUCGUUUGUCUAGUGAAUGAGUAGUCUCAAAAUGAACGGUUGAAAAUAAAAAUCUCAUAAAAAAUAGUGAUAAAGGACUCAAAUUUCAAAUCGGAAGUAUUGAUCUUGCUAUUAACAUUAAGUAGAAUUUUCUAUUAAAUUUUCAUGUAAUUUGAAUACUUUUACACCAUUGAAUUUAAAAUGUGCCGCAUCGGCUGUUAAAAUAGUCAUUUUUGGAACUUUUUGAUCGCUUAAUAAAUGAUGUCAAAAAAUUAUAAAAUUUGGUUUCUAGAUAGUUCUAAUAGAAUAGAUUAUACCUAACGGGGCCGAUCGUCGAAUCGGAUGUCCUAUCAUCGAAAACAACUUACAAGCACGAAGGUCCCGGUACUUUCGAAAGUAUAGUAGACAGACUCAUAUAUAUAUAUAACUCAUAUAUAUAUAUAACUCAUAUAUAUAUAUAUAUAUAUAUGAGUCUGUCUACUAUACUAUAUAGAGUUGGACUGGGCUACUAUUAGUAGCAAAAUCUCAUUGUUGCUACCAGUUUUUUAGCUUUUGGAUCAACUCUUUUUAUUAUUUCUAACCAUUAGAUUAAAUACUAUAACCCAGUGGGGACCACUCAAUCCUAGGGGGACCACUCAACUCUAACCGACUAAUAUCAUCCCGACCCUAUAAUUUUUCAUCCAAGGGUUAAAAACUUGAUAGCAAAAAGAACGUUUUACUAUUAAUAGUAUUCCAGCCUAAUUUUAUAUAUAUAUAUAUAUAUAUAUAUAUAUAUAUAUAUAUAUAUAUAUAUAU